rnacentral:tRNA from 1 species
AGGUAUCGGUAGGAUUCCAACCUACAUUUUCAAAAGUUUAAAAGACUUGUGUCCUAGCUAUUGGACGACGAUACC